AGGACGAACGCUGGCGGCGUGCUUAACACAUGCAAGUCGAGCGGAAAGGCCCUUCGGGGUACUCGAGCGGCGAACGGGUGAGUAACACGUGAGUAAUCUGCCCCUAGCUCUGGGAUAGCUCCGGGAAACCGGGAUUAAUACCAGAUACGACCACUUUAGACAUCUUCUGUGGUGGAAAGAACUUCGGCUAGGGAUGAACUCGCGGCCUAUCAGCUUGUGGUGAGGUAACGGCUCACCAAGGCGACGACGGGUA
rnacentral:rRNA from 1 species